UACAGAGGGGGCAAGCGUUGUUCGGAAUUACUGGGCGUAAAGGGCGCGUAGGCGGCCUGUUAAGUCGAACGUGAAAUCCCCGGGCUCAACCCGGGAACUGCGUCCGAUACUGGCAGGCUUGAAUCCGGGAGAGGGAUGCGGAAUUCCAGGUGUAGCGGUGAAAUGCGUAGAUAUCUGGAGAAACACCGGUGGCGAAGGCGGCAUCCUGGACCGGCAUUGACGCUGAGGCGCGAAAGCCAGGGGAGCAAACGGG
rnacentral:rRNA from 1 species